UACGUAGGGAGCAAGCGUUGUCCGGAAUUACUGGGCGUAAAGAGCUCGUAGGCGGUUUGUCGCGUCUGCUGUGAAAACCUAAGGCUCAACCUUGGGCUUGCAGUGGGUACGGGCAGACUAGAGUGCGGUAGGGGUGACUGGAAUUCCUGGUGUAGCGGUGGAAUGCGCAGAUAUCAGGAGGAACACCGAUGGCGAAGGCAGGUCACUGGGCCGCAACUGACGCUGAGGAGCGAAAGCAUGGGGAGCGAACAGG
rnacentral:rRNA from 1 species